rnacentral:tRNA from 1 species
UUCGGAAUAGCUUAAUUAAAGCAUUGAUUUUGUAAUUCAGAGAUGGGCACUCCCUUCCGAAU